GGCUCAGAACGAACGUUAGCGGCGCGCUUAACACAUGCAAGUCGAACGCGACUGGGGCAACCCAGUUGAGUGGCGCACGGGUGAGUAACACGUAGGUAAUCUCCCUCGAGUGGUGGAUAACCUUCCGAAAGAGGCUAAUACAGCAUAAGACCACGGCUUCGAAAGAGGUUGAGGUCAAAGCGGAGGAUCGUAAGACUUCGCGCUUGAGGAUGAGCCUGCGGCCCAUCAGGUAGUUGGCGGGGUAAUGGCCCACCAAGCCUAAGACGGGUAGCUGGUCUGAGAGGAUGAUCAGCCACACUGGAACUGAGACACGGUCCAGACUCCUACGGGAGGCAGCAGUGGGGAAUCUUGCGCAAUGGGCGAAAGCCUGACGCAGCGACGCCGCGUGGGUGAUGAAGGCCUUCGGGUUGUAAAGCCCUGUGGGGAGGGACGAAUUAGUGUCGGUCAAUACCCGGCAUGAUGACGGUACCUCCUUAGCAAGCACCGGCUAACUCUGUGCCAGCAGCCGCGGUAA
rnacentral:rRNA from 1 species